rnacentral:rRNA from 1 species
UUGAACGCUGGCGGCAUGCCUUACACAUGCAAGUCGAGCGGCAGCGCGGGGGCAACCCUGGCGGCGAGCGGCGAACGGGUGAGUAAUGCAUCGGAACGUGUCCUCUUGUGGGGGAUAACCAGUCGAAAGACUGGCUAAUACCGCAUGAGCUCGGAAGAGGAAAGCAGGGGACCCGCAAGGGCCUUGCGCGAGAGGAGCGGCCGAUGCCCGAUUAGCUAGUUGGUGGGGUAAUGGCCCACCAAGGCGACGAUCGGUAGCUGGUCUGAGAGGACGACCAGCCACACUGGGACUGAGACACGGCCCAGACUCCUACGGGAGGCAGCAGUGGGGAAUUUUGGACAAUGGGGGCAACCCUGAUCCAGCCAUGCCGCGUGUGAAGAAGGCCUUCGGGUGGUAAAGCACUUUCGGCCGGAC